rnacentral:rRNA from 1 species
UACAGAGGCCUCGAGCGUUAGGCGGAAUCACUGGGCUUAAAGCGUGUGUAGGCGGACUUCUAAGUGCCUUGUGAAAUCCCACGGCUCACCCGUGGAACUGCUGGGCAUACUGGGAGUCUUGAGCCACCUAGGGGCGAGCGGAACAAAUGGUGGAGCGGUGAAAUGCGUAGAUAUCAUUUGGAACGCCAACGGAGAAAUGAGCGCGCGGGGGGUGUGCUGACGCAGAGACACGAAAGCCAGGGGAGC